UCCAAUAGCGUAUAUUAAAGUUGUUGCAGUUAAAAAGCUCGUAGUCGGACUUCUGGCGGCAGGGUGUCGGUCCGCCGCAAGGUGUGCACUGCGCCUCGUCGCCAUCCUUCUUGAGGAGCGGCGGUGCCUUAAUUGGGUGGCGUCGCGACUUGAGACCUUUACUUUGAAAAAAUCAGCGCGUUCAAGCAGGCUACCGCUUG
rnacentral:rRNA from 1 species